UCUUUAAAUUUUUCACUGAAACUCUCCACCACUUUAGCUUCAUGUAAUGAGGUAUUUCUAAAAGAAUUUGUUCA